rnacentral:rRNA from 1 species
UACGAAGGGAGCUAGCGUUGUUCGGAAUCACUGGGCGUAAAGCGCACGUAGGCGGAUGUGUCAGUCAGGGGUGAAAUCCCGGAGCUCAACUUCGGAACUGCCUUUGAUACAGCACGUCUUGAGUCCGGAAGAGGUGGGUGGAAUUCCUAGUGUAGAGGUGAAAUUCGUAGAUAUUCGGAAGAACACCAGUGGCGAAGGCGGCUCACUGGCCCGGUACUGACGCUGAGGUGCGAAAGCGUGGGGAGCAAACAGG